CUCCUAGCAGGCAGCUGUGGUGCAUUGUAGUUGCAUUGCAUGUUCUAGCAGUACCCGUGCAAUGUUUCCACAGUGCAUCACAGAGGCCUGUCCA
rnacentral:miRNA from 1 species